CCCUUAUCCUUUGUUGCCAGCGGUUAGGCCGGGAACUCAAAGGAGACUGCCAGUGAUAAACUGGAGGAAGGUGGGGAUGACGUCAAGUCAUCAUGGCCCUUACGACCAGGGCUACACACGUGCUACAAUGGCGCAUACAAAGAGAAGCGACCUCGCGAGAGCAAGCGGACCUCAUAAAGUGCGUCGUAGUCCGGAUUGGAGUCUGCAACUCGACUCCAUGAAGUCGGAAUCGCUAGUAAUCGUGGAUCAGAAUGCCACGGUGAAUACGUUCCCGGGCCUUGUACACACCGCCCGUCACACCAUGGGAGUGGGUUGCAAAAGAAGUAGGUAGCUUAACCUUCGGGAGGGCGCUUACCACUUUGUGAUUCAUGACUGGGGUGAAGUCGUAACAAGGUAACCGUAGGGGAACCUGC
rnacentral:rRNA from 1 species